UUUCCGUAGGUGAACCUGCGGAAGGAUCAUUAUAAAUGAAAAACGAAUAACUUCAGGGAAGAAGGGAACCUGCACGGUGACCUCCCCUGUCGGGCCACCCAAUACCUUCAAAAUGCCGCCGUCCUGGCGGUGGCAGACGAAAAAAAAACAAGAAAAACAAAAUAGAAACAGGCACGGUGGCCCGUUCACCUUCACACAACCCUCCGAGUACCGCUUCCAUGUUGCUUCCCCGCAAAUCCACCUCUUUGGUGAGCGCGGGGGAGGUCCGCAUCAAAUUCACCUGAAUGUCACAGCAGUCAGACAGCCAUUCAUGGAAACAAUAAAACUUUCAACAACGGAUCUCUUGGUUCCC
rnacentral:misc_RNA from 1 species